rnacentral:rRNA from 1 species
GACGAACCGUGCGAACGUUAUUCGGAAUCACUGGGCUUAAAGGGUGCGUAGGCUGCGAGGAGGGUGGGGUGUGAAAUCCCUCGGCCUAACCGAGGAAUUGCGCUCCAAACUACUGUGCUUGAGGAAGCUAGAGGUGAGCAGAACUGAUGGUGGAGCGGUGAAAUGCGUUGAUAUCAUCAGGAAUACCGGAGGCGAAGGCGAGUCCCUGGACAACACCUGACACUGAGGCACGAAAGCUAGGGGAGCAAACAGG